CGCCAAAUUAACUCAUCUCUCGGUAAACAAAAGGCUCAUUUGCAUUUUCGGUGGUUUUAUUCAAGACCCCGUGAUUCGGGAACACAGGUGCGCUGCAGCUGAUUUCUGCACCCCGCGCACAUAAAUAACAGCCCUGGCGUGUCUGUCACACAACAUCCCUGCAAUAAAUUAAGUGUGGUUAUAUUACAUGAUUGAUUUAGAACUCGCCUACAAGAGACGGGAAAUUAUGCUCACGACUAAACUUAUUUCAAGGCGUGAUAUUUUUACAGCUGCAGUAGCGCAGUGCGGCCAGCGGGGGUCUGUGUGAGCUCAGUGGAGCUGCUUUUGGGCAUGACGUCACCUCGUACUCGGAGUGCAGCAGCUUGUGUAACAUCUUAAAAGAACAAUACAGUAAACAAGUCUUAACAGUUGCCAGAAACAGAGCACAUGCCGCAGAUGUGCAUUACAAUAUUCAUUCAGGAGAACAUGCAGGUCAGCGCGGUGGACCAGACAUCCUGAUAAAAUUGGGACAGACCUGAUUUAAUGAACCGUGUCCUGCUUCCCCAGUGGAGUUACUGUUGAAUGCUGUUUGUUCAGGCUGGAGUCAAGCAGCACAUCAAUCUGGAGCAUGUGAAGCAUCGAUGAUCAUCAGGGCUCAACAUUCCUGUGGGUUCAGUCUCGCCUCCAGAUUCCUGGAGAAACUCGCUGCCUUCCUCUUUUCCGGACACACAUCAUUGCUGUUCAGUUGCAAAACUGAAUCACGACUGUCAGCGGACUCGACUCCAUCCCAGUCUCGCCGAGAGCAUUCGACUCCAGACCCCAAUAGCAUUUGAUUUUAAACAUUCGCAUUUAGGCUGGAAAGAAAAGAAUCUCCCGAGGGAUUCAGAAAUGGAGGGAGAGCCAUCAGCUGUCAGGAGGAACUUAAUAAACAAAAUGAAAGGGGCUCAGGGGCAGAAGCAAUAAAGAAAUAAAGUCCUUUACGCCUAGAGACACAAUCAUGUAGCUCAAGAUCAUCUCCUUAAAGGAAUAGGUCACCCCCCAAAUUUAAAUUCAUUAUUUAUUCAACCACGUCGUUCCAAGGGAUUGAUUUCUUUCACUGAACACACAUAAACGUUGCAUUGAUGUUCUGCAUUUCAUUGAGCUUUCGUUUUGUAAAUACGAUUUUAGGCAUUUGCACACAAUAAAAGGGAGCUUGAUCUUUGCUCUGUGGACUAUUGAUGCUGAAACUUCAACAGUUUAACAAUGGGACUUUUAUUGAUAUUUUAGUAGUUUGAAAUAAUAUAAUGUAUAAGACAUAAUACAUAGAAAAAUAAGUCUGUAAAAUAACAGACAACGGCACGCCAGGCUUAUUAUUGAUAUGUACCCCUAUAUAUAAUUAUGAAGACUGUAAAAUACACCCAACCCAAGCUCAUUGUGAAAACGUAGUCCCGCGGACAUUUCUGGAGACCGCGAUUUACGUAGCUGGAGAUACGUAUGGCCACAUUUGUUUUUUUUCAAGCGAACGCUGCAGGGCGGUGUGACGCCGCUCCUCUUCGUGCUCGCCG
rnacentral:lncRNA from 1 species